rnacentral:lncRNA from 1 species
CCUACUUCUGCCUAGCAUUUUUAGGUGAGAUCCUGGGUUGUUGCAGGUAUCAAAACUUUUUUUCUUUCUCACUGACAAAUUAGAAUUGGCUUAAGGACUCGGGAACCUAUAGGCCUAGAGUUCCUCCUUUGCAUCUUGACCUUCUCUUGGGUUCUUAUCGUGAGGACAGCACAGAUCCUCUGGAUUACAUAUAAGUGCUUUUAGUGUAUCCAUUGGUGAUUUAUAUUCUUUUAAGAUCAUUUGAAAACCUAACUCAAUGAUUUUAUGCCAUUUGCUUGUGAUGGGAGAGACAGUCACAGGUUGUCAAGGUGGCUGAGCAAUCCCUAGCCGGCAACAACCCUAACUUCGUAG